rnacentral:rRNA from 1 species
UACGGAGGGCGCAAGCGUUAUCCGGAUUCACUGGGUUUAAAGGGUGCGUAGGUGGGCAGGUAAGUCAGUGGUGAAAUCUCCGGGCUUAACUCGGAAACUGCCAUUGAUACUAUCUUUCUUGAAUACCGUGGAGGUCAGCGGAAUAUGUCAUGUAGCGGUGAAAUGCUUAGAUAUGACAUAGAACACCAAUUGCGAAGGCAGCUGGCUACACGAAUAUUGACACUGAUGCACGAAAGCGUGGGGGAUCAAACAGG